rnacentral:rRNA from 1 species
GACGAACGCUGGCGGCGUGCUUAACACAUGCAAGUCGAACGGAAAGGCCCUUCGGGGUGCUCGAGUGGCGAACGGGUGAGUAACACGUGGGUGAUCUGCCCUGCACUUUGGGAUAAGCCUGGGAAACUGGGUCUAAUACCGAAUAGGACCACGCAUUUCAUGGUGUGUGGUGGAAAGCUUUUGCGGUGUGGGAUGGGCCCGCGGCCUAUCAGCUUGUUGGUGGGGUAAUGGCCUACCAAGGCGACGACGGGUAGCCGGCCUGAGAGGGUGACCGGCCACACUGGGACUGAGAUACGGCCCAGACUCCUACGGGAGGCAGCAGUGGGGAAUAUUGCACAAUGGGCGCAAGCCUGAUGCAGCGACGCCGCGUGAGGGAUGACGGCCUUCGGGUUGUAAACCUCUUUCAAUAGGGACGAAGCGC